rnacentral:sRNA from 1 species
AUGCACCACUCGUACACUCCGGCUCUUCCGCGCCGUCCGCCCCCACCUGACAACCGCGCGCUGCGUCUUGUCAGCC